rnacentral:tRNA from 1 species
AAGGGGCGUAUAAACACCUAGAAUUGCUAAUUCCGGCAUCCAAGACGAAACUUCUUGGGCCCCUUA